rnacentral:lncRNA from 1 species
AUUCUCUGUGUUUGUACACACACGUCUUCGAAGAGACAAAAUAUAAUGGGUCUAUUGGUACUUUACAUGAUCAUUAGGAUCUUGCAAAGGAAACCCAAAAACAGAUCCUCAAUGCUCCACGCCCUGGCUUCUCUUCAGGGAUCCUGAGACCCAGGGCGCUGGACUUAACUUGCCAAAAACUCCCCAAGUCGGACUUGGUAUGCACAAGAAAGCACUUCCCUCUUGUUAAAUGACCUCGCCUCAUCAUGGAACCAUAAAAAGAAAGCUUUCAGAUCAUUUGUCUCCAUCACGAAAAUUUAUAAAAAUGAGGUUUUUUAUUUUUUUUUAAAAAAAGUUAAAUUAUUUUGGCCUGUGAGUUUCAGAUGGGGUUGUGUAUUUCCCUAAAGGGUCAAAAAUAGAACAUUUAUUAAAUGGCAAGUUAUUCAAAAACCAGCACAGGCCCCAGUUGUCUUUCAAAAGCUCUGAUUUACUGGAUAUUUCUCCCUUGAGAGAGGCCUUUUUAAAAUGUUCAUUUCCAUUUUAAGAGACGGAGGGCUUUGAUCUGUUGGGAGCAUUCUUUUUCUUUCCCUGAGUGGGACCUGUCGACUCCUCCAGGCAGAACUGGAGCCUUGCUCUCAGGGUCUGUAUUUUUCCACGGACUUCCCAGGCAUCCAGACAGCAUCUCUCAAAUCGGCAUUCACCCCGGUCAAUCUGGAAGUCAGCAUUGGUGAGUCCCUACCCAGGGGACAUGUGGUCUCAUGUUUUUGUCACACCUAAAUCAGAACCCAGUUUCCAGGACAUAAGGCAAAGAUCUACAAGAACCCUGAAGUUCCUAUUAUUUUGAAACUGAGAA